GAUGAACGCUGGCGGCGUGCCUAAUACAUGCGAGUCGAGCGAACGGACGAGAAGCUUGCUUCUCUGAUGUUAGCGGCGGACGGGUGAGUAACACGUGGAUAACCUACCUAUAAGACUGGGAUAACUUCGGGAAACCGUAGCUAAUACCGGAUAAUAUUUUGAACCGCAUGGUUCAAAAGUGAAAGACGGUCUUGCUGUCACUUAUAGAUGGAUCCGCGCUGCAUUAGCUAGUUGGUAAGGUAACGGCUUACCAAGGCAACGAUGCAUAGCCGACCUGAGAGGGUGAUCGGCCACACUGGAACUGAGACACGGUCCAGACUCCUACGGGAGGCAGCAGUAGGGAAUCCUCCGCAAUGGGCGAAAGCCUGACGGAGCAACGCCGCGUGAGUGAUGAAGGUCUUCGGAUCGUAAAACUCUGUUAUUAGGGAAGAACAUAUGUGUAAGUAACUGUGCACAUCUUGACGGUACCUAAUCAGAAAGCCACGGCUAACUACGUG
rnacentral:rRNA from 1 species